GCCAUUGCAGGUGCGGUGGCACAUGUCUGUAGUCCCAGCUACUCGGGAGGCUGAGGUGGGAGGAUCGCUUGAGCCCAGGAGUUCUGGGCUGUAGUGCGCUAUGCCGAUCGGGUGUCCGCACUAAGUUCGGCAUCAAUAUGGUGACCUCCCGGGAGCGGGGGACCACCAGGUUGCCUCAGGAGGGGUGAACCGGCCCAGGUCGGAAAAGGAGCAGGUCAAAACUCCCGUGCUGAUCAGUAGUGGGAUUGCCCCUGUGAAAAGCCACUGCACUCCAGCCCGGGCAACAUAGCGAGACCCCGUCUCU
ensembl:misc_RNA Metazoa_SRP Metazoan signal recognition particle RNA